GACAGAGGGUGCAAACGUUGCUCAGAAUUACUGGGCGUAAAGCGCGUGUAGGCGGGCCGGAAAGUCGGGCGUGAAAUCCCUGGGCUCAACCCAGGAACUGCACUCGAAACUUCCGGUCUAGAGUGGUGGAGAGGGAAGUGGAAUUCCUGGUGUAGAGGUGAAAUUCGUAGAUAUCAGGAGGAACACCAGUGGCGAAGGCGGCUUCCUGGACACCAACUGACGCUGAGACGCGAAAGCGUGGGGAGCAAACAGG
rnacentral:rRNA from 1 species